rnacentral:rRNA from 1 species
UACGUAGGGGGCAAGCGUUGUCCGGAAUCAUUGGGCGUAAAGCGCGUGUAGGCGGCCCGGUAAGUCCGCUGUGAAAGUCGGGGGCUCAACCCUCGAAUGCCGGUGGAUACUGUCGGGCUAGAGUGCGGAAGAGGCGAGUGGAAUUCCUGGUGUAGCGGUGAAAUGCGCAGAUAUCGAGAGGAACACCGGUGGCGAAGGCGGCCUUCUGGACAGUGACUGACGCUGAGACGCGAAAGCGUGGGGAGCAAACAGG